rnacentral:rRNA from 1 species
CGCCGCGUGAGGGAUGACGGCCUUCGGUUGUAACCUCUUCAGUACCGACGAAGCGAAAGUGACGGUAGGUACAGAAGAAGCACCGGCCAACUACGUGC